GCUCCGGUGGCCUAGUGGUUAGAGCGUCUGCAACAGAUGCAGGAUGUCGUGGGUUUGAACCCCGGCCGUGUCA